rnacentral:tRNA from 1 species
GUUGUGGCUCAGUGGUGGAGCGCUUGCCUAGCAUGCUUGAGGCACUGGGUUCAGUCCCUAGCACCACA